ensembl:lncRNA
AAAAAAAAAAAAAAAAAGAAAAAAUUAUUCAAGGCCACAGAGGAAGUAUCCAGAAUUGUAUGGCAGACGGUAUCAUGUAUGGAGGCGGCAGCGAUGCUCGAGCCGGUUCUUCUCCACGCUCUGUGCUCCAGCACGACAUCUGUCUUUUAAAACAGAAACAAACGGCUUGCUCCCCUGCACACACGCUCAGCCACGAGAGGCAACGCCACACACCUGCGCUGAGUGCACAUGGGCUGGCCCGGGGCCGGACACAGGGUUCAGCCGGGGCAAGAGGGGGGCCAGCUGCGAGCCCACUCCUGACGCUCGACAGCUCGGACGCUCCGAGUCCUCAUCUUCCCAGAGAGCGGCGUGCUGAGGCCGGUCCCCUCUCACAGCCCCUAUGGGUCCCCCACCUUUGCCUGAACUCCUGUUCCUUCUACAGCUGUCACCUGCAGCAUCAUUCGAGGGGGGAGCCCUCCCAGGGCCCAGCCUCUCGUCAGACACUGCCUUCAGAGCACCUGUCACAGGAGGCCCGACAGCGAUUCCUCCACUGGGACCCUCAUGUUGCAUCUCCAACCUGACACAGAGACGUCGGGACGUGCUCUGUCUCCUUUGCUGGAGAAACAUUUGGCGAACUCAAGCCACGAUAGGACUUUUUAAAAAAAAUUAGUUCCAGGUGCUGGCCUGGUAUCAUACUGGUUAAAUUCAUGCACUCUACUUUGGCAGCCUGGGAUUCGUGGGUUCGUAUCCUGGGUUCAGACCUACACACCGCUAAGCCAUGCUGUGGUGGGGUCCCACAUAUGAAAUAGAGGAAAGCUGACACAGAUGUUAGCCCACGGCCAGCCUUCCUCAGGCAAAAAGAGGAAGAUUGGCAACAGAUGUUAGCUCAGGGCCAAUCUUCCUCACCACAAAAACAAAAACAAAAAACUAAACUGUUUAUUUUUCAACUUCAAAAUAUACUGCAUUAUUACUAGUAUUUCAAAUUCAACAUUCAUUUUGAUUUACCCACAUUUACCACUUUUUUUCACUCAACAUUUCUUCUUGGCUCUUAGCUUUUCCCUCUGGGAUCAAUUUUCUUCUGCUUGAACAGCACCCUUUAGAAUUUCUUUUUUUAAAAUUUUUUUGCUGAGGAAGAUUCACCCUGAGCUAACAUCUGUUGCCAAUCUUCCUCUUUUUGUAUGUGAGCUGCUGCUACGACGGGUUGGCCUCUGACAAGUGGUGUUGGUCAACACCCGGGAACGGAACCUGGGACCCCGAGGUGGAGCAUACCGAACUUAACCACUAGGCCACCAAGGCUGGCCCUAGAAUUUCCUUUGAUGAAGGUCUGCCGGUGGCAAACUCUGUCAGUUUUUAUUUGCCUGAAAAUGACUUCACUGUGUUCUUGAAAAGCUGUUUUUAGCACAAAGUUGACUUCGGUUUUUUGUUUUUUAAAGAUUGGCACCUGGACUAACAUCUGUUGCCAGUCUUUUUUUCUCUUCUUCUCCCCAAAGCUGCCCCAGUGCAUAGUCAUGUAUUCCAGUUGUGUGUGCCUCUGGUUGUGGCAUGUGGGACGCCGCCUCAGCAUGGCCUGACGAGCGGUGCCAUGUCUGUGCCCAGGAUACGACCCAGAGAAACCCUGGGCUGCCGAAGUGGAGCGUGACCUUAACCGCUCGGCCACGGGGCAGCCCCUUGACUUUGGUUUUUGAAAAUCAGUUCCUUGAAGACAGGAUUCCCCGUCUUCUGGCCUCCAGUGUCACUUUCGCAAUGUCCGUGGUCCAUGUGGCGGGAGGACGAUGCACCCGAAGACGACAGAAACUUCUGCAAGUUAACCCGUGUCAGCCACGGUCAACGCUGGAGAAACGUUUGCUGAGAGAUGCAGAGGACUCCUUUUUUCUAUGUAUUUUCUAUGUUUUUUUCUUCUUUAACUCCUCCAUGAUUGCCUUCUUUUGUGUUUGAUUGAUUUUUUUCCAGUAUGUCAUUUAUGUUGUUGUUUUGUUUUUAUUGAGUUCAUAACAGUUUACAUCGAUGUGAGAUUUCAGUCGUACAUUAUUUCUUGACUGUCACCACAUAAGUGCUCCCCUCACCACCCCCCAUGCCCAACCCC